UACGUAGGGCGCAAGCGUUGUCCGGAAUUAUUGGGCGUAAAGAGCUCGUAGGCGGCCUGUUGCGUCCGCUGUGAAAUCCCGGGGCUCAACCCCGGGCCUGCAGUGGAUACGGGCUGGCUAGAGGCAGGCAGGGGAGAACGGAAUUCCUGGUGUAGCGGUGAAAUGCGCAGAUAUCAGGAGGAACACCUGUGGUGUAGACAGCUUACUGGACCAUAACUGACGCUGAGGCACGAAAGCGUGGGUAGCAAACAGG
rnacentral:rRNA from 1 species